GCGAACGGGUGAGUAACACGUGAGCAACCUGCCCUAGGCUUUGGGAUAACCCUCGGAAACGGGGGCUAAUACCGAAUAGGACUGCUGACCGCAUGGUUGGUGGUGGAAAGUUUUUCGGCCUGGGAUGGGCUCGCGGCCUAUCAGCUUGUUGGUGGGGUGAUGGCCUACCAAGGCGACGACGGGUAGCCGGCCUGAGAGGGCGACCGGCCACACUGGGACUGAGACACGGCCCAGACUCCUACGGGAGGCAGCAGUGGGGAAUAUUGCACAAUGGGCGGAAGCCUGAUGCAGCGACGCCGCGUGAGGGAUGACGGCCUUCGGGUUGUAAACCUCUUUCAGCAGGGACGAAGCGUAAGUGACGGUACCUGCAGAAGAAGCACCGGCCAACUACGUGCCAGCAGCCGCGGUAAGACGUAGGGUGCGAGCGUUGUCCGGAUUUAUUGGGCGUAAAGAGCUCGUAGGCGGCUUGUCGCGUCGACUGUGAAAACCCGCAGCUCAACUGCGGGCCUGCAGUCGAUACGGGCAGGCUAGAGUUCGGUAGGGGAGACUGGAAUUCCUGGUGUAGCGGUGAAAUGCGCAGAUAUCAGGAGGAACACCGGUGGCGAAGGCGGGUCUCUGGGCCGAUACUGACGCUGAGGAGC
rnacentral:rRNA from 1 species